rnacentral:lncRNA from 1 species
UGCUGGCCCGUGCUGAGAAGAAAGCUGCUGGCAAAGGGGACAUCCCAACUAAGAGACCACCUGUCCUCCGAGCAGGGGUCAAUACAGUCACCACCUUGGUGGAGAACAAGAAGGCUCAGUUGGUGGUGAUUGCCCAUGAUGUAGACCCCAUUGAGCUGGUGGUCUUCCUGCCUGCCCUUUGUCGAAAGAUGGGGGUGCCCUACUGCAUCACCAAGGGCUUUCCAUCCAGGGCUGGGGCGCCUGGUCCACAGGAAGACAUGGACCACUGUUGCCUUCACACAGGUUAACUCGGAAGACAAGGGUGCUCUGGCUAAGCUGGUGGAAGCUAUCAGAACCAAUUAUAAUGACGGAUAUGACGAGAUCCGCCGCCACUGGGGAGGCAACGUCCUAGGUCCUAAGUCUGUGGCUCGCAUUGCCAAGCUGGAAAAGGCAAAGGCUAAAGAACUCGCCACUAAACUGGGUUAAAUGUACACUUAAGUUUUCUGUACAUAAAUAUAAUUACAAAAUUAAAAAAAA